rnacentral:lncRNA from 1 species
GCCAAAAAUGGGCCAAACCUUAGGGACUGGGAGAGCUUGAUUUUGUAAACAGUUCCUUGAAGUGCAAUGCAUUGUUUACACAAAUCCCUCCUGAAGGGUGAGAGAAGCUCUGAGUAUGACAGAGUGGGAGAGCAGCAAGCAUUGGACUUCCCCGUGCUGGCGCGACCUUGUGUGGCGUUCAUCCCUGAACGCUGCGGGCCGGGCAUCGGCUGCCCUCUGUGUGGCCCUUCCUCCUGUGAGAAGACUGCACUUGGAGCUCUCCCGAACUCUCCUGUGCGUGUAGGUUCCUUCCCUGCUGAUCCAUUGGCCACCAGAAGCACUUUACAAGAAAAGGACAAUAAACAUUCAAGGAAGCAUGAGGAAUUUCACUGCCUUCCAGCAAUUAAAUUGCAUUCAAGAAUUCUACAGUAGCCUUGGUGGUCUGCAACGACAUUUCAGGGAUUAGAUGCUCUAUCUCCUGUCUGCAGACACAUGAGCAGAACCCAGGAUGGAAGAAUGUAAUCACCAGCGUGACUCCAGUGAUGGAGAUGAACUAGAUGUGGAGACUGGGGAGCAGCAGAGUCAACUCAGUUAUCAUCUUGGCGGCCGGGCUGCCGUCCAGCUCACAGAAGCCACCUGAUCCGGAAAAGAUUUCCAAAGCCUGCUGGAGCUGUUUCCAUACAGGCAGAGGCCAGUGUCAUCUCCAGCACCUGGGGGACAUAAGAGAAAGAGCCAGUGGCCUCCAAGACAAUCUCAGGUGAAUACGCUUGACCCAGACGAGGGAAGGAUCACACAAACUCUCCGUUGAUUGUCUUCCCACUCACAGAACCAGGCAACAAAGAAGUCUGUGGCGUCCACAGGAGGGAAACAAAGCAAAACGAAGCGCCGACCAGUGCGGUACUAUUAAUUCAAAUUAAUGACCCUCACCUACAAAUAAAGCUGGUGCCUGGCAGGUCGCUGGCUCUUGGAGAGCUGCAAUGAGAACAAACGUGGCUUUGCCGUCUGGCCAGGCAAUCGAUGCCUCCUGCCUGUCCCUGGCCGCCCCGCACCCACCUCUUACAGAUGUUACCUGUCUCCUGUUAAUUCUCCCGUGUCACUCUCCACUUCCCCGGUGGGGGUGGGGGGGGGGCGGUCAAGGGUUGACCUGGAGGGUGGGCUUAUUUCAUAAGAAAGGCCGAUUGAAAGGGCCCAGAUGCAAAGUCACACUGCUCUGCUGAGCUGGGAGGACACCCCACUGAGAGACGUGUCUGAAAUGGGUGGAGGUCUCUGGGCAUCACUGGCAGGGGUGGGUGCCUGACUGUCAUUUAGGGACAUUUCUGCCUUGAUCUGUUGCUCUUAUUUAUCUCUGCCAAAAUAAAGAUGUGUUUGAUGAUAAAGACUUCUUUUAUUCAGCCUCUCAGUUAUUCCAGCACGGUAGUUAGAGAUGAAUACAACGUUGCCCUUAAGCUACAACCUGAUCUUCACAAAAACCCUUUGAAGAAG